GGUGGUUUGGCUCAGUGGUUAAAGCUUAGGCCUGUAACCGAAACGUCGUGGGAUCGAAUACCGCUAGAGGCUG
rnacentral:tRNA from 1 species